rnacentral:rRNA from 1 species
GACGAACGCUGGCGACGUGCCUAACACAUGCAAGUCGAGCGGAGUCAGUAAGAGGAAGUUUUCGGAUGGAAUCUUAUUGAUUUAGCGGCGGACGGGUGAGUAACGCGUGAGCGACCAACCUUGCACAGGGGGAUAACGGACCGAAAGGUUCACUAAUACCGCAUGAGACCACGGUGUUGCAUGACACAGGGGUCAAAGGAGCAAUCCGGUGCAAGACGGGCUCGCGUCCGAUUAGGUAGUUGGAGGGGUAACGGCCCACCAAGCCUAUGAUCGGUAGCCGACCUGAGAGGGUGAUCGGCCACAUUGGAACUGAGAUACGGUCCAAACUCCUACGGGAGGCAGCAGUGGGGAAUAUUGGGCAAUGGGGGAAACCCGUGACCCAGCAACGCCGCGUGAAGGAAGAAGGUUUUCGGAUUGUAAACUUCUGUCCUUGGUGAAGAGAAGAAGACGGUAGCCAAGGAGGAAGCCCCGGCUAACUACGUG